AAAUUCUGAACGUUUCCGCCGGAAAGCACCGCGCAGCCGAGCAUUGCCGGCUCGAGCGGGUUC
rnacentral:sRNA from 1 species